GGGGCUAUUGCUGUGGUAGAGUGCUUGCCUUGCAUGCAUGAGGCACUGGGUUCAAUCCUUAGCACCA
rnacentral:tRNA from 1 species